CAGCCGCAGGAGCCCGCCACUCAAAACUGCGGUGCUCCCCGCCCCCUCGACCUGAGGGGCGUGGCAGUCGCCAAUAACCUUGGUCUAAAGUUAUCCCACAAUCCUGGGAUAAAAGCUUGAUCUUCAGAAAGGAAGUGUUGAGAAGUAUUGGGACCUUUAAGAGGUUCAACUCUCACAGGACCUCAAAGGAGUAAUUCUUUUCUUCCUCUAAUUAUAACUUCAGAUAUCAACUAAUAGCAGUCUUCUAAGGAGAGCUGUUACCUGGCAAACUGCCAAGGAUUUAAGCAGCUGCCAAAGAUGAAGGGGCCCAGACCAACUGACACCCAAAUCCUUUCUCAAGAGGGUCCUAGGGUAUCUCAUCUCAAAGAGAAGCUACGUGUUUUCUAAGUGCACAAAAUAGGUUUCA